UCAGAGGCAUGGACGGACAGUUGAAUUGUUCCCCUAGAAUCUGUCCUCAUUACAGGAGGACCAAGAUGCUCAGGUUAGAAAAUAUAUACAUUUGGGUUGAUACAAAGCUUAGAGCAGCCUCAGGGAAGCUUGUGCAAUGUUUCUUGUGUUUUACAGACUGCACCUAGGAAAGUUCUUGAAACUUCACCCCUCCCUGCCUUCAGGGGGAUUUCUUUUUAGCUAAACAACUUUUUUUUUUUUCAGAUCUACCCAGGUGUUGUUCAUAAUAAAGUCUAAAUUCAAGAUUUAUAAAAGGCCAAUCAGGCUGUAGAACUUAUAAAGGCAUUACAAAAUAGCUUGCCUACUCCAUAUAAAAUUAUUAUAGAUUUGAAAAAUUAUUUUUUCCUUUUAUAUCCUGUUAAUUGUAAAGAGUUUACUUCUAGUGAACUGGUGACCAUUAAAGGGUUUUGCCUCUAGGUAUGGCUAAUAUAUAUAGUCUUACAUUAUGUAAGAAAUUUUCAUUGUCCAGGCUUCAAUACAAGAAGCUAAGACUUUGAAUCUUUCAGUGUAUAUUGUUUCCUGGGUGAAAAAUAUUUUAGCUAAUGCCUCUAAAGGAAAGUUUAAAGUUCUAGGGAAUAGUUGUUGCUCCAUAAGAUUCAGAGGCAAUAUUUUUAAUAUUUAGGGUUUUUUAGUUAUACUAAAAAAUUGUGGUAUAAAUUUGCUUCAAAAUAUUUUCAAAAGCUUCCAGGAGAUGUUAAUUGGCUAAAGACCUCACCUUAAACUCACCACAGGAGAACCUAAGCCUUUGUUAGGUGCUAUCAAGUGAAAUUCAAAUUAACUGGAGAGAACCAAAAAGACUUUAACAGAAAGUAGAGGAAACUUCUAUAAUCUAUUGGUAUCGAUUAUAAUUAGUGGUAAUCAAAUAUUAGCUACAUAUUCUAGUUAUUGUUAUUAAAUGUGUCCACAGCUAUUCUUUGGCAAGAAAAAACAUUAAUGUAAAAUCAUUCUUCUUCACCUUAAAGUUUUAACAUCCUAUUAUAAAGCUGCUGUGGUGCUAAUUAAGAAUUCCUUGUUCCAAACAGCAAUUGGUUAUUGCAAAAUAUUGAUAUUUGACCUAUUACAUACCAUCAUUUUAAAUAAAAUUGAUACUCAUCCUAAAAAUAAGUUAAAAAUUGCUUAUAUACAUGCUUUUGUAUCUUCUAUAAAUUCAUACAUGCAUGCAUCCCAUUUACUGUAUUUAAAAACAACCCUUCUAUGGGAAAAAAAGUAUAUGUAAAUUGGAUCACAUGUUUAUUCUUUUGAGUUUCUGCCUGCUUCAGCACAGAUAAUUAAAUUAUGUGCUAUAGAUGGUGUUUUAAAAUGUUGAAGAUUGCCUAGAGAAGACCUCUUAAGACAAUGCCACGCUAGAUUUAUAUCCCAGGUAGAUUAUGGAUCUUAUACAAAAGUAAUUGGCCAUAUAAUCUCAUUCUUUACAUCAUCAAAAUAGUAAUGGCUUAAAAUAAUAAUUUGGUACU
rnacentral:lncRNA from 1 species